rnacentral:rRNA from 1 species
GAUGAACGCUGGCGGCGUGCCUAAUACAUGCAAGUCGAGCGAACGGACGAGAAUCUUUCUUCUCUUCUGUUAGCUGCCGACCGGUUAGUUACACGUUGAUCACCCUCCUAUAAGACUGGGAUUACCUUUUGAAACCGGAUCUUAUUCCCGAUUAUAUUUUGAUCCCCAUUGAUCCAAAGUUAAAGACCGUCUUGCCGUCACUUAUAGAUGGAUCCGCGCUGCAUUAGCUAGUUGGUAAGGUAACGGCUUACCAAGGCAACGAUGCAUAGCCGACCUGAGAGAGUGAUCGGCCACACUGGAACUGAGACACGGUCCAGACUCCUACGGGAGGCAGCAGUAGGGAAUCUUCCGCAAUGGGCGAAAGCCUGACGGAGCAACGCCGCGUGAGUGAUGAAGGUCUUCGGAUCGUAAAACUCUGUUAUAAGGGAAGAACAGAUGUGUAAGUAAAUGUGCACAUCUUGACGGUACCAAAUCAGAAAGCCACGGCUAAAUACGUG